UACGUAGGGUGCAAGCGUUGUCCGGAAUUAUUGGGCGUAAAGAGCUCGUAGGCGGUCUGUCGCGUCGGCUGUGAAAACCCGGGGCUCAACCCCGGGCCUGCAGUCGAUACGGGCAGACUAGAGUGUGGUAGGGGAGACUGGAAUUCCUGGUGUAGCGGUGAAAUGCGCAGAUAUCAGGAGGAAUACCGGUGGCGAAGGCGGUUCUCUGGGCAUUACCUGACGCUGAGGAGCGAAAGUGUGGGGAGCGAACAGG
rnacentral:rRNA from 1 species